rnacentral:rRNA from 1 species
CACCGAAGCUGCGGCAGCGACACUGUGUGUUGUUGGGUAGGGGAGCGUUCUGUAAGCCUGUGAAGGUGUGUCGUGAGGCAUGCUGGAGGUAUCAGAAGUGCGAAUGCUGACAUAAGUAACGAUAAAGCGGGUGAAAAGCCCGCUCGCCGGAAGACCAAGGGUUUCUGUCCAACGUUAAUCGGGGCAGGGUGAGUCGACCCCUAAGGCGAGGCCGAAAGGCGUAGUCGAUGGGAAACGGGUUAAUAUUCCCGUACUUGGUGUUACUGCGAAGGGGGGACGGAGAAGGCUAUGUUGGCCGGGCGACGGUUGUCCCGGUUUAAGCGUGUAGGUGUGUGUUCCAGGUAAAUCCGGUUCACUUUAACACUGAGGCGUGACGACGAGGCACUACGGUGCUGAAGCAACAAAUGCCCUGCUUCCAGGAAAAGCCUCUAAGCAUCAGGUAACAUCAAAUCGUACCCCAAACCGACACAGGUGGUCAGGUAGAGAAUACCAAGGCGCUUGAGAGAACUCGGGUGAAGGAACUAGGCAAAAUGGUGCCGUAACUUCGGGAGAAGGCACGCUGACACGUAGGUGAAGUGAUUUACUCAUGGAGCUGAAGUCAGUCGAAGAUACCAGCUGGCUGCAACUGUUUAUUAAAAACACAGCACUGUGCAAACACGAAAGUGGACGUAUACGGUGUGACGCCUGCCCGGUGCCGGAAGGUUAAUUGAUGGGGUCAGCGCAAGCGAAGCUCCUGAUCGAAGCCCCGGUAAACGGCGGCCGUAACUAUAACGGUCCUAAGGUAGCGAAAUUCCUUGUCGGGUAAGUUCCGACCUGCACGAAUGGCGUAAUGAUGGCCAGGCUGUCUCCACCCGAGACUCAGUGAAAUUGAACUCGCUGUGAAGAUGCAGUGUACCCGCGGCAAGACGGAAAGACCCCGUGAACCUUUACUAUAGCUUGACACUGAACAUUGAGCCUUGAUGUGUAGGAUAGGUGGGAGGCUUUGAAGUGUGGACGCCAGUCUGCAUGGAGCCGACCUUGAAAUACCACCCUUUAAUGUUUGAUGUUCUAACGUGGACCCGUUACCCGGGUUGCGGACAGUGUCUGGUGGGUAGUUUGACUGGGGCGGUCUCCUCCUAAAGAGUAACGGAGGAGCACGAAGGUUGGCUAAUCCUGGUCGGACAUCAGGAGGUUAGUGCAAUGGCAUAAGCCAGCUUGACUGCGAGCGUGACGGCGCGAGCAGGUGCGAAAGCAGGUCAUAGUGAUCCGGUGGUUCUGAAUGGAAGGGCCAUCGCUCAACGGAUAAAAGGUACUCCGGGGAUAACAGGCUGAUACCGCCCAAGAGUUCAUAUCGACGGCGGUGUUUGGCACCUCGAUGUCGGCUCAUCACAUCCUGGGGCUGAAGUAGGUCCCAAGGGUAUGGCUGUUCGCCAUUUAAAGUGGUACGCGAGCUGGGUUUAGAACGUCGUGAGACAGUUCGGUCCCUAUCUGCCGUGGGCGCUGGAGAACUGAGGGGGGCUGCUCCUAGUACGAGAGGACCGGAGUGGACGCAUCACUGGUGUUCGGGUUGUCAUGCCAAUGGCACUGCCCGGUAGCUAAAUGCGGAAGAGAUAAGUGCUGAAAGCAUCUAAGCACGAAACUUGCCCCGA